rnacentral:tRNA from 1 species
GCCAGGAUAGCUCAGUGGUAGAGCAGCUCACUCGUAAUGAGCAGGUCGAGAGUUCGAAUCUCUCUUCUGGCU